rnacentral:lncRNA from 1 species
UCAAAAAAAUCUUUCUAUCUGAGUGUUAAGUGUUACAUUACUCAGCACAUUAGCCAUUCUUCAGCAGUCAGAGACACUGAAGGAUUUGGGAAGGGGUGUUGGCUUUCAUUACACAGGAGAAUAUGACUAAGAUGAAAAGUACUUUGGGAAAAUGCAGUUGAGAAGUGUCUAACGGCUGGAUCCUACCAGUGAAGAUUAUAGCCAUGUAGAAAACUUUAAACCAAGUAGUAGAUAACAGUUACUCUUUUUUAUCUGAUUCCACCAGGACC